rnacentral:tRNA from 1 species
AAGGCCUUAAGUUAAACCAAACUAAUAACCUUCAAAGCUAUAAAUAAAGGGUACCCUUUAGGCCUUG